CAAUGUUUGCCAGGACGCUAUAAACGUGAUACUUCAUCCGAACCAAGAAGCCGCCAUCAGCAACAGUUGUACUACGACCAAAAGAAAUCAUCCGGGCGUCCUCCACAACACAAGCAGCAGCAAACUACAGCAAGAAGCAACAGGAGCAAAGGAACCAGCACACCCGCAAGCACAGCACCUCUAUAACUGAGUGGAUGGAUGGACGUACUGUUAGGACAGGCUCCGGUCACAGAGUCGCAGGCCACCCCCUCACCGCAGUCGCAGACAGAAGAACAGUUGAAGCCAAACCGGAGGGCAGGGCAGCUGUUGUUACAGCUGGAAACAUCCAUGAGUCACACCUGGCGCACAGACACAUUUUCCUGUCACAUGAUGGCAGUUGCCAUGAAAACAAGGACUACACGUCAAGAGGCAGGCGUCUCCAAACCUCCCGUUAAGGCAGCGCUCCUGACACCUGGACGAGGACAGAAAAACGAGGACAGAGAUUACUAACACUUACACUGUUGGCGGUACAAACUUUCCAUCCUCUAUAAGCAGACUGUUUUUGAGCUUAAGUGUCAUAAGCAGUGCUCAUGUUUUACCACAUGGAUCAUUUUAUUAAUUUUGCAUCUUUAGGCAACUUAAUCCAUAAGUUUUAACUCUUCCAAGCAACUCUUUGAAUCCGUCAUGUUCAAGAGACUGCAGUACAGUUGUAAGCAGUGAAUAACUUGGACUUUUUAGCAGAUUCAUCUCUUUUUGUUAAACUCAAAUCAUCUCUUGUCUUCUGGGUCUGACUUUCUGAUUAUGUCUCUAGUCAGUGAAAUGCGCUUUGACAGCCAACUCACGGACGUCAGAGCCUCCCACGAACAGCUGUAUGCACAAGUACGGAAGUGUUUUCAGUCCCCAGAUCACACCACAGGAUGACAAUGGAGCUUCUGACAAAAAUAACUAUAAUCUGUGACAGACAGACAAUUUACUGAUUGAUUGAUUUUUCAGUUUGAGCUAAAGCAUAUGAACCACACUGAUCACAGGAUGCUUCCUAAGACCAGUGAGGUGCAGGCCGCUGAUCAUUUUUAUUCUUUUUUUUAAAAUAACACAGUGAUUAAGUAGCCAGUUAUUACAUUUUAGCAUUUCUGUAUAUUUAGAACCCCAAUUCCCAAAAAACUCAGAAGUAAAGAUGGACAGAGGUUCAAAAAAUUGAGCCAUUAACUUGUGGAACAACUUCAGCUUUGACAAAUUUUUUAUCUACAAUACAGAAUCUGGAGAAAUCUCUGUGUGCAAGGGACACUACCAAAAAUCAAAACCCGUGAUCUUCGAGCCUUCAGACAGCACUGCAUUAAAAACAGACAUGAGGGAUGCUGCAAAGCCGUAAACAUGACCCUUUCACAACAUUUUUGAGAUGUGUUGCUACCAUCAAAUCAAAAAUGUGUAAAUAUUUUUCUUUAAAUUGCAUUUUCUAUGUUCUACUGUGACUAAAAUGUGAGUUUAUGA